GUGUAGCUCAGUGGUAGAGUACUCACUUAGUACGUGUGAGGUUCUGGGUUUGAUCCCUGGCAC
rnacentral:tRNA from 1 species